rnacentral:rRNA from 1 species
AUACGGAGGUGCAAGCGUUAUUCGGAAUCACUGGGCGUAAAGGACGCGUAGGCGGGUUGGCAAGUCAGAUGUGAAAUCCUACAGCUUAACUGUAGAACUGCAUUUGAAACUGCUAACCUAGAGUAUGGGAGGGGGAGAUGGAAUUAGUGGUGUAGGGGUAAAAUCCGUAGAUAUCACUAGGAAUACCGAAAGCGAAGGCGAUCUCCUGGAACAUAACUGACGCUAAGGCGUGAAAGCGUGGGGAGCAAACAGGAUUAGAAACCCUAGUAGUCC